GUGGGGAAUCUUGCGCAAUGGGCGAAAGCCUGACGCAGCCAUGCCGCGUGAAUGAUGAAGGUCUUAGGAUUGUAAAAUUCUUUCACCGGGGACGAUAAUGACGGUACCCGGAGAAGAAGCCCCGGCUAACUUCGUGCCAGCAGCCGCGGUAAUACGAAGGGGGCUAGCGUUGCUCGGAAUUACUGGGCGUAAAGGGCGCGUAGGCGGACAGUUUAGUCAGAGGUGAAAGCCCAGGGCUCAACCUUUGAAUUGCCUUUGAUACUGGCUGUCUUGAGUACGGGAGAGGUGAGUGGAACUCCGAGUGUAGAGGUGAAAUUCGUAGAUAUUCGGAAGAACACCAGUGGCGAAGGCGACUCACCGGCCCGUUACUGACGCUGAGGCGCGAAAGCGUGGGGAGCAAACAGGAUUAGAAACCCUAGUAGUCC
rnacentral:rRNA from 1 species